rnacentral:misc_RNA from 1 species
UUUCCGUAGGUGAACCUGCGGAAGGAUCAUUCAUAAUAAAGUGUUUUAUGGCACUUUUUAAAAAUCCAUAUCCACCUUGUGUGCAAUGUUAGAUCUCGUCAAUCUUGGCGAGAUUUUUAUACAUCAACUCAUUCUUUAACUAAUUUGUCUGAAAGAUAUUAUGAAUACUUAAUUCAAAAUACAACUUUCAACAACGGAUCUCUUGGCUCUC